rnacentral:rRNA from 1 species
UACGUAGGGUGCGAGCGUUAAUCGGAAUUACUGGGCGUAAAGCGUGCGUAGGCGGUUCGUUAAGUCAGCUGUGAAAGCCCCGGGCUCAACCUGGGAACUGCGGUUGAAACUGGCGAACUAGAAUCUGGCAGAGGGAAGUGGAAUUCCCGGUGUAGUGGUGAAAUGCGUAGAUAUCGGGAGGAACACCAGUGGCGAAGGCGACUUCCUGGCCUGUUCUUGACGCUGAGGCGCGAAAGCUAGGGUAGCAAACGGG